CCUACGGGAGGCAGCAGUAAGGAAUAUUGGACAAUGCUCGCAAGAGUGAUCCAGCCAUGCCGCGUGCAGGAAGACGGCCCUAUGGGUUGUAAACUGCUUUUGAACUAGAGAAAACCCUCCUACGUGUAGGAGGCUGAUAGUAUAGUUAGAAUAAGCAUCGGCUAACUUCGUGCCAGCAGCCGCGGUAAGACGAAGGAUGCAAGCGUUAUCCGGAUUCAUUGGGUUUAAAGGGAGCGUAGGUGGACUGAUAAGUCAGUGGUGAAAUCUCUCGGCUUAACCGAGAAAUUGCCAUUGAUACUGUUGGUCUUGAGUACAGUUGCUGUGGGCGGAAUAUGACAUGUAGUGGUGAAAUACAUAGAGAUGUCAUAGAACACCGAUUGCGAAGGCAGCUCACAAAGCUGUAACUGACACUGAGGCUCGAAAGUGCGGGGAUCAAACAGGAUUAGAUACCCUGGUAGUCCGCACCGUAAACGAUGAUUACUCGCUGCUGGAGGUACUUUCGAGUGGCUUAGCGAAGCGUAGUAAGUUAAUUCCGUACCGUUGGGAGGUACGGCCGGCGACGGUAGGAACGUUAAGAAGUUAGUUAGACGNGAGAGNGCGACGGACGACGACGACGGAGGAGGAG
rnacentral:rRNA from 1 species